AUGAGCGUGCGUGGCUGCGUGUGCGGUUUUGCUGACACUGAGGCUCUGUUCGGUAAUGGUCCGCUCUGGGAAUCUGUGGAGAGGAUAAAUGGCAACUCCACCAUUUUGACCUACAGCUCCGCCUACUCCGCUCUGGGAGCUGUGGAGCGGAGUGACGCCGAACAGCCCCUGAGAUCUGGUUCUGGCUGGCAGGUCGAUUUGCCUCUUUCGUUUUGUCCUAUAAUAGAGUGGUGUGAUUUUUGUUGCAAUUUUGGGAAACGGGUUGUACAAGGGAGUCUAAAGCUGUGGUGCCACCGGAGUGAAAUUGGAGCUGGUACUGUUCAUAUUUUCUUGGAUCCACAGUGGGAGUGGUGA
rnacentral:rRNA from 1 species